AUGGACAUGGGCAUGGAUCUUUCCAGCUCCUCCCCGUCCUCGUCUGUGUCAUCCACGCCCGAGCACGCAUCGGGGCGGGCGUCGCCGGCCAAGCGCCCCACGGGGCGCACCAAGUUCCGGGAGACGCGGCACCCGGUGUACCGCGGCGUGCGGCGCAGGGGCAACGCGGGACGGUGGGUCUGCGAGGUGCGCGUCCCCGGCAAGCGUGGCGCUCGGCUCUGGCUCGGGACGUACCUGACGGCCGAGGCCGCCGCCCGCGCGAACGACGCCGCCAUGCUCGCACUCGGCGGCCGCUCAGCAAGGUGCCUCAACUUCGCGGACUCGGCGUGGCUGCUCGCCGUGCCGUCCGCGCUCUCCAACCUCGCCGACGUCCGUCGCGCGGCCCUCCAGGCCGUCGCGGAUUUCCAGCGACGGGAGGCUGCCAAUGGCCUGAUAGCCAGGACCGUCGCCAAGGAGGCCCCAUCUAGCGCUCCUGCACAAUCGUCGUCUGAGUCCGACAGUGCCGACUCGUCGGAGACGUCGGAAGCUUCCGCCGAUGGAGAGUUCGAGGUGCUGGCUACAAUGGACAUCGAUAUGUUCAGUAGGCUUGACUUGUUCCCGGAAAUGGACCUGGGCUCGUACUACGUGAGCCUCGCGGAGGCGCUGCUCAUGGACCCGCCGUCGACGGCGGCCAUCAUGGACGCGUACUGGGACAACGGCGACGGCGGAGCAGAUGUCGCGCUCUGGAGCUACUAG
rnacentral:rRNA from 1 species